rnacentral:rRNA from 1 species
AGUGGCGAACGGGUGAGUAACACGUGGGCAAUCUGCCCUUCACUCUGGGACAAGCCCUGGAAACGGGGUCUAAUACCGGAUAACACUCUGUCCCGCAUGGGACGGGGUUGAAAGCUCCGGCGGUGAAGGAUGAGCCCGCGGCCUAUCAGCUUGUUGGUGGGGUAAUGGCCUACCAAGGCGACGACGGGUAGCCGGCCUGAGAGGGCGACCGGCCACACUGGGACUGAGACACGGCCCAGACUCCUACGGGAGGCAGCAGUGGGGAAUAUUGCACAAUGGGCGAAAGCCUGAUGCAGCGACGCCGCGUGAGGGAUGACGGCCUUCGGGUUGUAAACCUCUUUCAGCAGGGAAGAAGCGAAAGUGACGGUACCUGCAGAAGAAGCGCCGGCUAACUACGUGCCAGCAGCCGCGGUAAUACGUAGGGCGCAAGCGUUGUCCGGAAUUAUUGGGCGUAAAGAGCUCGUAGGCGGCUUGUCACGUCGGAUGUGAAAGCCCGGGGCUUAACCCCGGGUCUGCAUUCGAUACGGGCUAGCUAGAGUGUGGUAGGGGAGAUCGGAAUUCCUGGUGUAGCGGUGAAAUGCGCAGAUAUCAGGAGGAACACCGGUGGCGAAGGCGGAUCUCUGGGCCAUUACUGACGCUGAGGAGCGAAAGCGUGGGGAGCGAACAGGAUUAGAUACCCUGGUAGUCCACGCCGUAAACGUUGGGAACUAGGUGUUGGCGACAUUCCACGUCGUCGGUGCCGCAGCUAACGCAUUAAGUUCCCCGCCUGGGGAGUACGGCCGCAAGGCU